UAUAGUGGCGAACGGGUGAGUAACACGUAAGCAACCUACCCUCAAGACCGGGACAACUAGCCGAAAGGUUAGCUAAUACCGGAUGUGGCUACGGGAAGACAUCUUCCUGUAAUUAAAUCCAGCAAUGGGCUUAAGGAUGGGCUUGCGUACUAUCAGCUAGUUGGUGAGGUAACGGCUCACCAAGGCAAUGACGGUUAGCUGGUCUGAGAGGACGACCAGUCACAAGGGAACUGAGACACGGUCCCUACUCC
rnacentral:rRNA from 1 species